GCACAAGCGGUGGAGCAUGUGGUUUAAUUCGAAGCAACGCGAAGAACCUUACCAGGUCUUGACAUCCCCUGACAACCCAAGAGAUUGGGCGUUCCCCUUCGGGGGGACAGGGUGACAGGUGGUGCAUGGUUGUCGUCAGCUCGUGUCGUGAGAUGUUGGGUUAAGUCCCGCAACGAGCGCAACCCUCGCCUCUAGUUGCCAGCAUUCGGUUGGGCACUCUAGAGGGACUGCCGGCGACAAGUCGGAGGAAGGUGGGGAUGACGUCAAGUCCUCAUGGCCCUUAUAGGUGGGGCUACACACGUCAUACAAUGGAUGGUACAAAGGGUCGCCAACCCGCGAGGGGGAGCCAAUCCCAUAAAGCCAUUCGUAGUCCGGAUCGCAGUCUGCAACUCGACUGCGUGAAGUCGGAAUCGCUAGUAAUCGUGGAUCAGAAUGUCACGGUGAAUACGUUCCCGGGUCUU
rnacentral:rRNA from 1 species